CAAAGUCUUGGGCAAGCAUCGGGUGUACCUGUGCUGUUUUCAGCUCCUCCACCUCCUACUCCUACAGCUACUCCUCCUCCGUCCGCGGGUUCGAAUCAUCCUGCAAAUGCGUCACCAGGUGAUCAGGCCUUUCCUUCACCAUCUUCUCAUAGGCUACCUUGAUGAGGACUCGUGGUAGGUGAUGUGGUUGGACUUUAGCGUGAUUUGUGGUUUAUAGUUGUGACUUGUGUUUGGAUUUGAUGAACUUGUUGUAAUAAACAUGUGAAUGAUGAUGAACAUGCUGAGACUUGUAAUAUGGUUGUGAUAUUAUGAUUUGUGGUU